rnacentral:rRNA from 1 species
AACGAACGCUGGCGGCAUGCCUAACACAUGCAAGUCGAACGAGAUCUUCGGGUCUAGUGGCGCACGGGUGCGUAACGCGUGGGAAUCUACCCUUUGGUUCGGAAUAACAGUUGGAAACGACUGCUAAUACCGGAUGAUGACGAAAGUCCAAAGAUUUAUCGCCAGAGGAUGAGCCCGCGUAGGAUUAGCUAGCUGGUGUGGUAAAGGCGCACCAAGGCGACGAUCCUUAGCUGGUCUGAGAGGAUGAUCAGCCACACUGGGACUGAGACACGGACCAGACUCCUACGGGAGGCAGCAGUGGGGAAUAUUGGACAAUGGGCGAAAGCCUGAUCCAGCAAUGCCGCGUGAGUGAUGAAGGCCUUAGGGUUGUAAAGCUCUUUUACCCGGGAUGAUAAUGACAGUACCGGGAGAAUAAGCUCCGGCUAACUCCGUGCCAGCAGCCGCAGUAA